rnacentral:tRNA from 1 species
UGUUGUAGCUCAAUGGUUGAGUGCUUGCCUUGCAUGCAUGAGGCACUGGGUUCAAUCCUCAGCGUCA